AGGGCUAUACUUUCAGGGAUCAUUUCUAUACUGGUCAACUACAGAAGUUUCUCUGAUCAUGUAGUACACUGCAAGCCACAAUGAGGAGGUACAGUGUUCUCUCUUGAACAUGAAAGCUGGCUCUGGUGUCACUUUGUGGUGACUGCCAAUGGCAAUCAAUGAUCGUUCUUUUCUUUCUUUUGGAGGAGAAUGAGGGAGAGAAUACAUCCUGAGUGGU